rnacentral:rRNA from 1 species
GCGGAUCUCGAAAGCCUGUCCCAGUUCGGACUGGAGUCUGCAACCCGACUCCACGAAGUUGGAUUCGCUAGUAAUCGCGCAUCAGCCAUGCCGCGGUGAAUACGUUCCCGGGCCUUGUACACACCGCCCGUCACACCAUGAGAGCCGGUAAUACCCGAAGUCAGUAUCCUAACCGCAAGGGGGGAGCUGCCGAAGGUAGGAUUGGCGAUUGGGGUGAAGUCGUAACAAGGUAAC